rnacentral:lncRNA from 10 species
ACCAUUGCCUUUAACAGCAAGGAAGAAUAUCAAAAUAACUGUUAAACAUAAAAGACACGGCACAGAAAACUACAUGUGCUAAAACAGAAAUAGAACGAAUGGCAUAUGAAAAACGAACUCACAAAACUGUCUAAGAAAUAUCAGUUGCUGUGGCCAAAGCUUUGCUGUUAUUUCUCGUGACCAUUAAUUGAAGUCCAAAAGGAAUUCAUAUUCUAUCCCCAUGAGUUCAGCACCCAAUGUCCCUUGUCCGGAUCACACCCCUGUCCUUGAUUCUGUUCUAUUACUGGUUGAUAUGACCAGAUACUGUAAAGAUUUAAUGCUGUAAACCAAAUUUAUGACUAAUAGCUACAGAUGGCUUUUCUCAUAAAUAAACUACAAGAACCUCUCCAUG